UCUCUCUCCCUCAUCCAAGAAGGAAGGGUAGAGGGUUCGUAUUUUCAAAGGUUACCGAGCUCAUGCCCACAGAAGGCCAGCUCAUUCACGCUCCACAAGUGGCCUGUUGCUACCCAACUGACAGUGUGGGCAAAAUAAAGAAGAAAAAGGAAACCCCAGAAUAGCUUCUUCCUAAAAAUAAAACGUCAGCAAGGAAGCGGCCCACUUCCUACAUCACCUCAGACGAGGCCACUGUUCCAGAAGAACGGGGCGGGGGGGGGGGGGACAGGACUGUGUGUG